AUCUGGUUUUCCCGCAAGGGACGUAGAGACAGGUGCUGCAUGGCUGUCGUCAGCUCGUGUCGUGAGAUGUUGGGUUAAGUCCCGCAACGAGCGCAACCCUCGCCUUUAGUUGCCAUCAUUAAGUUGGGCACUCUAGAGGGACCGCCGGCGACAAGCCGGAGGAAGGUGGGGAUGACGUCAAGUCCUCAUGGCCCUUACACCCUGGGCUACACACGUGCUACAAUGGCGGUGACAGUGGGCAGCUACUUCGCGAGGAGCGGCUAAUCCCAAAAAACCGUCCCAGUUCAGAUUGCAGUCUGCAACUCGACUGCAUGAAGGUGGAAUCGCUAGUAAUCGCAGAACAGCAGGCUGCGGUGAAUACGUUCCCGGGCCUUGUACACACCGCCCGUCACGGCAUGGGAGUUGGUUCUACCUUAAGACGGCGCGCUAACCGCAAGGAGGCAGCCGGCCACGGUAGGAUCAGCGACUGGGCCGAAGUCGUAACAAGGUAACCGUAA
rnacentral:rRNA from 1 species